UGUAUAGGUGUUAGACCUACAUGUAUGUCUAUGUAGCAUCUGCAUGUGAAAGACCUCCAGAGCGGGGAGACCCUCACUCAAGUCUCGGGAUGACGCGACCCCCCCAAGAACUCAUGUGAGACC
rnacentral:pre_miRNA from 14 species